rnacentral:sRNA from 1 species
CCCAGCGCUAUGCGCUGGGCUGACAUGUUACGCUCUUGCAGAGCU